GAUGAACGCUAGCGGCAGGCCUAACACAUGCAAGUCGAGGGGUAGAGGAAGCUUGCUUCCUUGAGACCGGCGCACGGGUGCGUAACGCGUAUGCAAUCUGCCUUGUACUGAGGGAUAGCCCAGAGAAAUUUGGAUUAAUACCUCAUAGCAUUAUGAAAUCGCAUGGUUUUAUAAUUAAAGUUCCAACGGUACAAGAUGAGCAUGCGUCCCAUUAGUUAGUUGGUAAGGUAACGGCUUACCAAGACGAUGAUGGGUAGGGGUCCUGAGAGGGAGAUCCCCCACACUGGUACUGAGACACGGACCAGACUCCUACGGGAGGCAGCAGUGAGGAAUAUUGGUCAAUGGACGCAAGUCUGAACCAGCCAUGCCGCGUGCAGGAUGAAGCAUCUAUGGUGUGUAAACUGCUUUUGUACGGGAAGAAACACUCCUACGUGUAGGAACUUGACGGUACCGUAAGAAUAAGGAUCGGCUAACUCCGUGCCAGCCGCCGCCGUAAAAC
rnacentral:rRNA from 1 species